UACGUAGGGUGCGAGCGUUAAUCGAAAUUACUGGGCGUAAAGCGUGCGCAGGCGGUUCUCCAAGUCCGUUGUGAAAGCCCCGGGCUCAACCUGGGAAUGGCAGUGGAAACUAGGGGACUGGAAUCUGGCAGAGGGGGGUGGAAUGCCGCGUGUAGCAGUGAAAUGCGUAGAGAUGCGGCGGAACACCGAUGGCGAAGGCAGCCCCCUGGGCUGAGAUUGACGCUCAGGCACGAAAGCGUGGGGAGCAAACAGG
rnacentral:rRNA from 1 species